GGCAAGAUGGCCGAGCGGUCUAAGGCGCUACGUUCAGGUGUUCAACUUCCGGUUGAAUUACUCAAUUUCGUAGUCUCGAAAGAGGCGCGAGUUCGAAUCUCGUUCUUGUCA